ACGAUCAUACUUCACAGGAUCAUAUCUGUAGUAUGCAUCGUUUUAGAUUUACAUAAGAGUAAGUAGGAAAUAUUUUCGAAGAAUGUUUUGGUUUAGAUAU